rnacentral:rRNA from 1 species
CCUACGGGUGGUGCAGUGGGGAAUAUUGCACAACGGGCGCAAGCCUGAUGCAGCCAUGCCGCGUGUGUGAAGAAGGCCUUCGGGUUGUAAAGCACUUUCAGCGGGGAGGAAGGCGUUAAGGUUAAUAACCUUGGCGAUUGACGUUACCCGCAGAAGAAGCACCGGCUAACUCCGUGCCAGCAGCCGCGGUAAUACGGAGGGUGCAAGCGUUAAUCGGAAUUACUGGGCGUAAAGCGCACGCAGGCGGUCUGUCAAGUCGGAUGUGAAAUCCCCGGGCUCAACCUGGGAACUGCAUUCGAAACUGGCAGGCUAGAGUCUUGUAGAGGGGGGUAGAAUUCCAGGUGUAGCGGUGAAAUGCGUAGAGAUCUGGAGGAAUACCGGUGGCGAAGGCGGCCCCCUGGACAAAGACUGACGCUCAGGUGCGAAAGCGUGGGGAGCAAACAGGAUUAGAUACCUUGUAGUC